AUUGAACGCUGGCGGAAUGCUUUACACAUGCAAGUCGAACGGCAGCACGGGGGCAACCCUGGUGGCGAGUGGCGAACGGGUGAGUAAUACAUCGGAACGUGCCUAGUCGUGGGGGAUAACGCAGCGAAAGCUGUGCUAAUACCGCAUACGAUCUACGGAUGAAAGCGGGGGAUCGCAAGACCUCGCGCGAUUGGAGCGGCCGAUGGCAGAUUAGGUAGUUGGUGGGGUAAAGGCUCACCAAGCCUGCGAUCUGUAGCUGGUCUGAGAGGACGACCAGCCACACUGGGACUGAGACACGGCCCAGACUCCUACGGGAGGCAGCAGUGGGGAAUUUUGGACAAUGGGCGAAAGCCUGAUCCAGCCAUUCCGCGUGCAGGAUGAAGGCCCUCGGGUUGUAAACUGCUUUUGUACGGAACGAAAAGCCUUCUUCUAAUACAGGGGGGUCAUGACGGUACCGUAAGAAUAAGCACCGGCUAACUACGUGCCAGCAGCCGCAGUAAGAC
rnacentral:rRNA from 1 species